GACUUGAGUCAAACUGUUGGGGUGACGGUUAAAGAAGAAGAGGAAGAGGAAGUCAAUCAGAUUCAUUUAGUCCCCAGUAGAAGAAGUGGAUUGGGAGGCUGUUGAACUUGGAGAGAAUCCUAACCACUGCUCAGACCGUGAGGAGAGACCUCCCCAGCAGGAGAAUCACACAGCGAAACACCAUCACCACACAGAGAACACAAGCCUCACUCCUGCUCCGACUCUAUUUGAAGGACCUGAUCAAAGCCAUUGAUUAGGAAAUAAUUAGGUUCACGAUAUCAUUUAGUUACUGUACCCUAUUACAGAUAUGUAUGUUGAAUUAAUUGCCUUUGAUUGAAUAAAUCAUGGUUGCAACAAA